GUAACUUAGAAACAUAGAUGGCAACAGACGUUCUUGUUUGAACUUUGAAAUCACGAAUGUGGCUUGCUACAUUGACUGAUUAAGUUCCGGUUGCUACAUUCACUCGGAUUAACUUGCUACAUUGACUGAUUAAGCUCGAUUAAGUUCCGGUUGGCGUCGAUGACUCGGUGUUAACGUCAUUACUAUAUAACGACUCUUUCAACAUAGUUAUAAAAGCUAAAAUAAGGUUACUUAGAAACGUAAAUAAUCAAAAAGAAGUGCCGUACUAACUAUACUAACAUGGGUUGAAACUUAAAGUCUGCCGCAGACGAAUUACCUUCUGGGCUUCUGGCUGAGUUAAUCGCCACACGUGGAGGUUUAUAGCUUACUGCCAUACUGGGGCUGGUUGUUCAAAAGCCGAUUAUAGCUUAAUCCUAGCUAAGUUAACCUAAAACGUCAAAGCAAAAUUUUUAACAGCUUAUUUAUAAACGCGAAAAAAUAUUUUCAGAAAUCUUGCCUGGAUCAAUAGUAUUUUUUGUGAAGUUUUAAAAUAAACGUACGAAGAAUUGGAAGAAACACACAAUUACAAAAACAAUGGGUUACAUUUUAACCCAACCCCAGCUCUAUAUGUUUAUCGCAAACGACGGCCGAAUUAGCCUUUCUCACGGCCAAUUUCAGUUCCGCCAUUUUGGGGAUACUGCCUCUCCCAUUUGAAAGUCUCCGCAGGCGCACCCCGAAAUACAAUUUUUUAGUAUUAUAGUUGUUUGUAUAAUGGUAAAUGUACAGUUACAACUUUUAAAAGUCGCUUUUUACGUUGUUUGAAUUGUCUAGAAUAUUUCACGAGGGCAGAAAGGCUAAUUCAAC